GCGGUUUAACUAAGUGAGCUACCCAGGCACCCCUCUUCUUCCCUUUUUUUUUUUUAAGAUUUUAUUUAUUCAUGAGAGACAGAGAGAGAGAGAGAGAGAGAGAGAGAGAGAGAGGCAGAGACACAGAGGAGAAGCAGGCUCCAUCCAGGAAGCCCGAAACAGGACUCAAUUCUGGGACUCCAGGAUCAAGCCCUGGGCCAAAAACAGGUGCUAAAUCGCUGAGCCACCCAGGCAUCCCUUCUUCCCUUUUUUUUUUUUUUUUUUCCUUCUUCCCUUUUUAAAAGAAGAGUCAACUCACCUCACCAUCUAUGUGCCAUUCUCUUGUCCAGACAACUAAAACAUUCUAGGGAGAAUUUCCCCAUAGACAAGUGUCCAUGUAUCCAUCAGACUAGGAGAUUCUUUUUUUAAAAUAUUUUAUUUUAUUAUUUAUUCGUGAGAAGUAGAGAGAGAGAGAGAGGCAGAGACACAGGCAGAGGGAGAAGCAGGCUCCAUGCAGGGAGCCCGAUGCAGGACUCGAUCCCCGGACUCCAGGAUCACGGCCUGGGCCGAAGGCAGGCACUAAACAGUUGGCUUCCAGUCAUGGUUAGACAAUGAUGACACUGAGGACACCGCUUCAGAGAGUGAGAAGUUUACAGGUGAGAAGAGGAUGAGCUUCCCACAACAGAUCUCAGCACUGGCCUCUUGAGUGUGAGGUCCUUGGAGAAGACCACUCUGCCUCUUUCCUUCUUCUUUUAUGGAGCGCCGCCAGGCCUGUCUCCCCUCCCUUCUGCGGGGCCGCAGGUGGGGAGGCCGAGGAAAGGGGUUGGGACCCUCCAGCCCGGCACUGUGGUGGAGAGUGAAGGUCUGUCUGGUCGGGAUUGAGACGCGAUGGGGACUCUCGGGAUGGGGCCCCGCACUGCCCCGCCCUGCGCCUCGGGAGCCCAGGGAGGGCGGCGGGGACCCUUCGGAGCGGGGGUCUGGGG
rnacentral:lncRNA from 1 species